UACGGGGGGAGCAAGCGUUGUUCGGAAUUACUGGGCGUAAAGGCCUCGUAGGCGGCCAACUAAGUCAGACGUGAAAUCCCUCAGCUUAACUGGGGAACUGCGUCUGAUACUGGAUGGCUUGGAUUCGGGAGAGGAAUGCGGAAUUCCAGGUGUAGCGGUGAAAUGCGUAGAUAUCUGGAGGAACACCGGUGGCGAAGGCGGCAUUCUGGACCGACAUUGACGCUGAGGAGCGAAAGCCAGGGGAGCAAACGGG
rnacentral:rRNA from 1 species